rnacentral:rRNA from 1 species
CCCUUAGAUGUUCUGGGCCGCACACGCGCUACACUGAAGGAGGCUGCGUGUACUCCUGGAUCGAAAGAUUUGGGUAACCCGCGAAUCUCCUUCGUGCUAGGGAUUGAGGUUUGCAAUUAUCCUUCAUGAACGAGGAAUUCCCAGUAAGUGCAAGUCAUAAGCUUGCGCUGACUACGUCCCUGCCCUUUGUACACACCGCCCGUCGCUACUACCGAUUGAAUGAUUUAGUGAGGACUUCGGACUGGGACCGAUGCGGCUUUCGGGCUGCGUCGGUAUUCUGGAAAGAUGUCCAAACUGUAUCAUUUAGAGGAAGUAAAAGUCGUAACA